UACGAAGGGGGCUAGCGUUGCUCGGAAUCACUGGGCGUAAAGCGCACGUAGGCGGACUCUUAAGUCGGUGGUGAAAUCCUGGAGCUCAACUCCAGAACUGCCUUCGAUACUGAGAGUCUCGAGUCCGGGAGAGGUGAGUGGAACUGCGAGUGUAGAGGUGAAAUUCGUAGAUAUUCGCAAGAACACCAGUGGCGAAGGCGGCUUCCUGGACCUGUUCUGACACUGAGGAGCGAAAGCGUGGGGAGCGAUCCGG
rnacentral:rRNA from 1 species